UGCCACCUAGAGUCUUUCCCAUUAGAGAAUCACCCCCUCACUUGCUGCCGCUCCUUAUGGUUCUGUGGAAUUUGAAUCCGUACCUGAUCCAGGAGGUUGAAUGAUUCAGGAUUAAGCCAAGCAGUACCUAUUUUCCCUGACCACUGAUUGGUCGAGAGAUAGGCAUGUGACUCACACAGAGCCAAUGAGAUUUUAUGAGGGAGUUCUGGGAAACUCUCACUGGCUGUGAAAUGAGAGGGUUGGGAAUGCCAUGUGAGGUCUGGGGCUACUGAAAGAGGAAGCCCGGGGCCCGGGAAGAGCCAAGGAGAGAACUGGGUCUGGGGGUCAUCAUCUGAGCCCUGCCCAAGCCAGCCCUUCUACGGACUUUGCAAUUCUACAAUAAGCAGAAGAACAGCUCACACUGAUUCCUGUGGUGUAAAUGCUCCUAUCGUGGCCAUUUCGGACUACGAAGGUGACGUCGCUGAACACAGAGUUGGAAGAAGACACCCGGUCCUGCCAUUACGUUGUAUUUCUACCCUACAGAUGCAAUGGAUAAUCCGAACCUGCGGAGGCUCAGCAGACAAACACGCGCCGCAAACACGUUCCUGAGGCCAGAGCACCUGCCCUGGCUCCUUGCAGCCUCUGAGAAGCCUCUUGGCAGCAAUGACAGAUGCCUGAGAUGGAGACUUGGCUUGUCGAGGAAGUAGAACCGAAAAGCCCGUGUGCUUAGCUAGGAGCCCCGAGGGGAAGGAUCGAAGCUACGCAGCAAUGGUGGCAUGGCCGAGCCGCGGUGGUGACGGAGAGGCCAGAUAGCAGUGUCCCCGCUGGGCAGAAGGGAGCGGACACCGCCUGAGUCUGCGGGUGGAAAUCCGCCCCACCCUGGAGGUGCCAGUUCCUUCAGCAGUCACGGGAGUGUCAGGACCAGCACCGACCCUGCAGGCGGCAUCCUGACCAUGCCAUUCUCCAGGUCUGUCCUGGUUUCGAACCCUGUGCCCUUUCCUAGUGGUGACGUGAGUCACUGGUACCAUUGACGGAGCACCUCCCGUGAGGCAAAAAACACCCCCGCCAAAGGCUUGGGGAAAGGGCGGAGACGCCCCGGGUGAGAAUCGAGUUCGAGCCCCGGGCUCUGGCCCUGGUGAGGAGGGUGGAGUCGGAAAAGCCCUGCGCCUCUGUUUGCUCAUCUGUAAAGUGGAGCAAAGCCCACCCCUCGGGACUGCGGCGAGGAAUGGAUGAAAUAGGUGACAUUUCAAAAGGCUGCCGCGAAGACAGGCGCAGCAUAGGCGCUCCCUGAAUGUUCCUUGCUCCCCCCCCCACUGUUCCAGAACAGGAGCCCAGGCAGCAGCCUGCCCCUCGCCGAGCCAAAGUCCACAGUCUGGGUCGACCCAGGCAGCUCUGGCAGCCACACAGUCCCAAAGCCACCCACUGAGAUGAUUUUUUUGUCUGGCGUUACACUUUGACUGACAGGCCUGCGCUAAACACAGAAGGUUUGCAUUUUCAGUGGAAUGGGAGGGAGAGACAGGGAGGGGUGAGGCGUCGGGAGGCCUCUGAUCCAGAGCUGGUGGCCCACAGACAGGCCCGAGAUGUUCACGCAGGGCUGGGAAGUGCCAGGGGCCAUGGAGGACAAGGAGGGUUUGUUUAAGACCCAGCUCCUUGGCAUUUCACUAGGAACAAGUGGGCAAGGCUGCGAAGCACGGAGCGUGGCAUUGGCUAAGCAGCGAUGUGUGGUUCCACCCCGAUCGGGUUCUGGGCAGGGGCUGCUGCUCACGGUGGGGGGAGCUGCGCUAAAAAUCCAGAGAGAGGCUGGCCUGAGGACUGUGGGCUCUCCUCUCCGAGUGGAUUCGGUGACUGGGGCAACGCCCCGGCCGGUCUCCCUCCUCCCCUUCCCCUCCUUUCCCUGGAUUCUCAUCACGCUCAGUCCCAUGGGGGCAGGGCCAGGGCCUUUGACUCCAGCAGCAGCAGCAGGGACCAGCACAGGGAGGACAGGAGGGCUCAGCCACCCCGAUUUUGCUAAAGGCGCUGGUUCUUAAACAACUUUCAGCUUUGGGUGGCGUUUGCAGGGACUUCUGUGGCUUCACGACCGCGGGAGCCGUGGGCUGUGCCGACAGCCAACGCGGAACCACAGGAGGGGAAGUUAGCCGGGCCCCCCAAAGCCAAGAAGGGCAUUUGGUGAGCCGUCCCUCACCUCUCCUCCUGCUUUGGGAUUUCAGGAAGGCCUGGGAGAAACCCGUGAAUUUGGAAGCAAUGGAACCCCAGAGUCACAGGGUGAAACUCACUGGUGAAAAUCUGGGUCCCCGAUUCUUUCUAAAGUUCAAGGAGCUUAAGGGCGCCUGGGUGGCUUGGUCGGGUAGGCAUCUGACUCUUGAUUUUGGCUCAGGUCAUGAUCUCAUGAUCUCUGUGCUGACUGCGUGGAGCCUGGUUGGGAUUCUGUCUCUCCCUCUCUCGGCCCCUCCCCUGCUCGCACACAUGCGCAUACUCUCUUUCUCUCUCAAAAUAAAUAAAUAAACAUUAAACAACAACAAAAAAGAAUUAUAGGCGCUCCUGGGUGGCUCAGUUGGCUAAGCGUCUGACUUCAGCUCCGGUCAUGAUCUCACGGUUCACGGGUUUGAGCCCCGCGUCGGGCUCUGUGUUGACAGCUCAGAGCCUGGAGCCU